rnacentral:tRNA from 1 species
UCCAUGGUGGUCUAGUGGUUAGGAUUCAGCGCUUGCACUGCUGUGGCCCAAGUUCAGUCCCUGGUCUAGGAA